rnacentral:tRNA from 1 species
UUGGAGGUGCAGCACAGUGGUAGAGCACUGCCUAGCAUGCAUGAGACCCUGGGUUCAAUCCCCAUCACCUAAA